UUGUGGACUUGUGGUGUCGGGUCGCAAUUGCUAUUUUUGCAGAAUCCGUAUAAAUUCCUCUCCAAUUUCCCUAAAUUGAAUUUUCCCUCUUAUUUCCGCCCCUUGAUUUUUGAUUUGCUUUUCCCUCCUCUUCUCCUCCAUUUUCCUUUAAUGUCACUAAAACAGAAGAAGGGGGGAACAGAAAAGAGUUAGAAAAUGAUAGGAGGGAAUAAUAGUUUUGGGAAGACAAUUUGCUCAAUCUGUUAUGAAGAUCUAAAUCCUAUUAUUGAAGACCUCCAAUCCAUUUCUAUUUGCGGUCACGUUUUUCACGAGAUUUGUCUUCAGCAAUGGUUUGAAUACUGUACAAAUGGAAAAAAGAAGAAUUGUCCAGUUUGCAAACAGGCUUGUUCAGAACAAAAUGCAAAUAGGCUUUAUUUCCAAUCAGUUGGUGAUCCAAAUGAUACAAGUCUGACCAAGAAACCCCGUGAUCAUGAAGAGGAUCCACGUGAACUGAGAAAUGAGGUCAAAAGAUUGGAGGGGAAAGUUUUACAGUUGACUUCUACUUUGGAGAAACAGCUGAAAGAUCUCAAAGAAGUCAAUGCAGAGCUUUUCACAUGCAAGGAAGAGUUGAAAAUAGAAGCGACUCUAAAGAAUGAAGCUGUGAAACAGGAGGCAGCCAUUCAGCAGUUGUUACAUCUUAAAUCCAAGGAGCUAGAUCGAUCAACUUUGGAGUGCAUAAGGCUAAAAGAUGGAAAUAUGGCUCUAGAUAGGGAGCUUGCAGCACUCAAGUUGAGUUACAAAGAACUAGUGACCAAGUGCGAUACUCAUGGAAGGCGAGAGGCUCGUUCUCUUAGGAAACUUGAGAAGUCAAAAGAAAAGAUAAAUAAGUUGAAGACCAGGGUCCAAGAACUUGAGACGGCACUUGAAAGAAAAGAAAAAGAUAAUGAAAAUUUGAGAACUUUGAGAGCUGCCAAGAAAAACUUUGAGUUGUAUCAAGGAAGCAAAGAACCCAAAGUUGACCGACGUUCAUAUGAGAAUCAGAAUAAGGCACCUGCUGCGACAGAAGUAGAUUUAUGCAUAGUCACUGGCUCAUGCAAUGAUUUAUCUAGACCAAGGAGAAAAAGAAAGUCUAAGUCUAAGGAAAAGAGUAUACAAAACACGGCAGAAGAUAUUAUAACUGGUGGAAGUCAAGUGCAGGGAUCAGAAAAUAAGGAUGGAAUCUCAGGUUCAAGGAAUUCCCCUGUUAUUAUUCUUGACGAUGAUACUGAUCUUCCGCUUCUAGAUGAUGUUACACAGCAUCAGCCCUCGUUUCGCAUCAGGAAAGAGACUUCUGCACCAGUUAUACUUGCCCAUCCAGGAGAUACCUGUUUUUCUGGUGGAUUAUUAGGUCCUGAUGGUACUUACUGGCACUUGGGAAAAUGGUGCAAGAAGGUUAAGGACAAGGGAUCUGGAUCACUGUCUUGAGGACUGCAAGGAUCAGGUGUGACUGCUGUUGAUUUGAUUGCUGUAGGAGCUGACGGUAGAGGCGGUUGGAUCAAAGUUCUGCGAUCAAUGAAUCCGGGAUCAUUGCAGGACAAAAAUAAGAGUGUCAUCAGUCAAGAGAUACAAGUAUGACAUGAAAUCAAGUAGUUCCCAGUCUCAAGGAUGCUUGCAUACAGAUAGCUUCUUCAGAAGAACCAGUGGAUAACCUUAUUAACAGUGCUGCUUCUACAUUACCAACUGUAGAUAAUAGAGAUUAAAUUCCUUAUACAUUGUUUAGGGGUUUAAUUUUUAGCAAUCUAGUUAUACUACCAUUUGAUUGAAUGGUCCGAAAAGAAGAAACUUAAUGUCUUCUUUUGAGCAUGUAAAGUAGGGAUUCAAAGGGGAAAGGUAGCAUACAGGGGAGAGAAAAGCAAGAAAGCAACUUCAGCAAUUGUUUCUUAGCGGUUUUCAGUUAUGUUGCUUGCUCAAUCCAUAUUGAAAGUAUACUCUUGGUAGUUUUGGUGUUAAUGCUAUAAAGUAAGGAGGCAUUAUGUUCAUAUUCA